rnacentral:lncRNA from 1 species
CAGCCCCUCUCUGGAAUUAUGCAACUGGCUCUGUGCAGAUGAGGGCUCCACAGGAAAAGUUAGUUUACUAAAAUCUCUGUAAAAUGUUGGGGUAUAAGAAGCAAUGAUUUGCUCCCCUCUACCACAGUAUAAUGAUGUAUUCUCCCAAAUUGUACCCCAGAACAUCCACAGCUCUGGUACGUUGGGACCUUCUCAACAACAGUGUUAGUGUCAGUGGAGGGACUUCAGUGCUCAGUGGGAGACAGCAGCAGGAGCCAGAGGAGGCAGCGGGACUUGCUCAGCAGACGCAAACAUACUCAGAAGGAGGGGAAGUCACAUUCAGCAAACGCUUCUGGGCCCUAAGGCAGCUGAGGUACCUAAAGAACACAGCAUCGUAGCCCAGCAUUCUACAUCAUCUCUGGGAGCUGUUAGUUCCUAUUGAGGAGGGGAGACAAGAAAGGCUUAAAGAUGAGAUGGAUACGAGAAUCAUCUCUAUGGUUUGGAAAUGAGUGGUUUUUAAAAAAUUUAUUUUUAAAGAAGAUUAGCCCAGAGCUAACAUUUGCCACCAAUCCUCCUCUUUUUGCCGAGGAAGACCGACCCUGAGCUAACAUCUGUGUCCAUCUUCUUCCUCGUUUUUAUAUGUGGGAUGCCUGCCACAGCGUGGCUCAACAAGCAGUGCAUAAGUCCACACUCAGGAUCCAAACUGGCGAACCCCGGGCCGCGGAAGCAGAACAUGUGAACUUAACCGCUGCACCACUGGGCUGGCCCCAAGAAACCGAUGGUUUUGAAUUGCAUUCUAUGCUCUGGGAAGAACAUUUGGUGAAGUCGCCACAGAGCAAUAUUAGUAAGUGUUGUGUGUCUUCUUUCUCAUAAACGUCUUCAUUACAAGAUCAUGUAACUGGUACUUCACUAGAGCUUGCUCUGAUGGGUCUCUUCAGCUAAUAAAUCACAUCAUGUUAUGAUUUUCAAC